rnacentral:rRNA from 1 species
GUAGGUGGCAAGCGUUGUCCGGAAUUAUUGGGCGUAAAGCGCGCGCAGGCGGUCCUUUAAGUCUGAUGUGAAAGCCCACGGCUCAACCGUGGAGGGUCAUUGGAAACUGGGGGACUUGAGUGCAGAAGAGGAGAGUGGAAUUCCACGUGUAGCGGUGAAAUGCGUAGAGAUGUGGAGGAACACCAGUGGCGAAGGCGACUCUCUGGUCUGUAACUGACGCUGAGGCGCGAAAGCGUGGGGGAGCGAACAGGAUUAGAUACCCUGGUAGUCCACGCCGUAAACGAUGAGUGCUAAGUGUUAGAGGGUUUCCGCCCCCUUUAGUGCUGCAGCUAACGCAUUAAGCACUCCGCCUGGGAGUACGGUCGCAAGACUG